rnacentral:rRNA from 1 species
AAGCUCGUAGUUGAAUUUCGGAUCGUACCUUGAGAGCAUCCGAAAGGUUGAUACAAUAUAGGUGCGGUCUUAUGUGUCUGGCCUUGUGGUAUGCUAUUAAUUUGGUGUGCCAUUUUGGUUAGAAGUUUACCUUGAAAAAAUUAGAGUGUUUAAAGCAAGUGAAUAACAGCCUGAAUACAUUAGCAUGGAAUAAUAGAAUAGGACUUUGGCUCUAUUUUGUUGGUUUCUAGGACCGAAGUAAUGAUUAAUAGGGAUAGUUGGG